UCCACACGUACCCAUCCCGAACACGACCGUUAAGCCCUCCAGCGCCGAUGGUACUUGGACCGCAGGGUCCUGGGAGAGUAGGACGCCGCCAAGC
rnacentral:rRNA from 1 species